rnacentral:rRNA from 1 species
GACGAACGCUGGCGGCGUGCUUAACACAUGCAAGUCGAACGGAAAGGCCCUGCUUUUGUGGGGUGCUCGAGUGGCGAACGGGUGAGUAACACGUGAGUAACCUGCCCUUGACUUUGGGAUAACUUCAGGAAACUGGGGCUAAUACCGGAUAGGAGCUCCUGCUGCAUGGUGGGGGUUGGAAAGUUUCGGCGGUUGGGGAUGGACUCGCGGCUUAUCAGCUUGUUGGUGGGGUAGUGGCUUACCAAGGCUUUGACGGGUAGCCGGCCUGAGAGGGUGACCGGCAACAUUGGGACUGAGAUACGGCCCAGACUCCUACGGGAGGAAGCAGGGGGGAAUAUUGCACAAUGGGCGGAAGCCUGAUGCAGCAACGCCGCGUGCGGGAUGACGGCCUUCGGGUUGUAAACCGCUUUCGCCUGUGACGAAGCGUGAGUGACGGUAAUGGGUAAAGAAGCACCGGCUAACUACGUG